rnacentral:rRNA from 1 species
AUGGAUACAAACCUUGGAAUGCUUAGUAGAACUAAAACCGAGUACAUAAUGUGCGGUUUCAGUACUACUAGGUGUGAGGAGGAGGAGGUUAGCCUUGAUGGGCAGGUGGUGCCUCAGAAGGACUUUCGAUAUUUGAGGUCAAUGCUACAGGAGGAUGGGGGUAUUGAUGAAGAUGUGAACCAUCGAAUCAAAGCCGGAUGGAUGAAGUGGCGCCAAGCUUUUGGCAUUCUCUAUGACAAGAGAGUGCCACAAAAGCUAAAAGGCAAGUUCUACAAGACGGCGGUUCGACCCACAAUGUUGUAUGGCGUUGAGUGUUGGCCGACUAAAAGGCGACAUGUUCAACAGUUAGGUGUGAGGGAAAUGCGUAUGUUGAGAUGGAUGUGUGGCCACAUGAGGAAGGAUCUAGUCCGGAAUGAUGAUAUACGAGAUAGAGUUGGGGUAGCACCUAUUGAAGAGAAGCUUGUCCAACAUCGUCUGAGAUGGUUUGGGCGUAUUCAGCGCAGGCCUCUAGAAGCUCCAGUGCAUAGCGGUCGGUUAAAGCGUGCGCAGAAUGUCAAAAGAGGUCGGGGUAGACCGAAUUUGACAUGGGAGGAGUUCGUUAAGAGAGACCUGAAGGAUUGGAGUAUCACUAAAGAACUAGCUAUGGACAGGGGUGCGUGGAAGCUUGCUAUCCAUGUGCCAGAGCCAUGA